CAUGAGCUCCUAUAGCUUUCUGACUCUCAAGUAUUCUCAUGGCUUUGUUUUCAGGCUUCCAAUGAGAAGAAUAUGCUUGGAGGAUCUUUAUAAAUGACAAAGCAGCUGAAGAUAAGGCAGAGGAUAAAUAAACAUGAUUUUUGCAUAUGAAAACUCUAGCUGGAGAACAAGAGGAUGAUGGACAGCUCUACUAAAGAAAUAGAGGACAAGCCUUCUAAGGGCAAGAGAAGAAAAGACUUUGAGGUUAAGAAAAGUGCUGAGCAGGGGCAGAUGAGAGCAGUUUUCAGGUUUGUGACCGUUGUUCAAGUCGAAAGGACAAGUCUCCUAACAUGAGUUGUGAUACAUGGGACCGCUACAUGUUUUCUACAACUGUAUUUGCUUGAUUGAGAUGGCAAGGCAAGUUGGGUCAACUGAGACUGCAAGUUGUCUCAAGUAAGAGGAAACUACAUAUAUGUAUUCCCAUCUAGCUUUGAAUUAAGGAAGUUUCUUCAAACUCUCAAGCGAGCAAUUGGUGUUUGAGUCUGAAAUUGGGUGAUAUAAGAAGAUUAUAAGCCAAAGAGCGUACCAGUUCUGCCAUGGAUAUGAACCCUAAUUAACGUCAACGCCUUGGAAAAAAACCCCUCUCUAUUCUGCCUUGACCUGACCCCAGAUCUGUUUCUUUCAAGACAUGACUCCCCAGUCUAACAACACAGCCAAAGUUAAAGCAAUAACACUAAGGAUGAAGGCACUGGAAAUGAAAAGAGGCGAAAAAACAGUGUCGAAACCAGCUGUUGAAGAGACUGAUGCACCACAUAAAUCCGCCUUCACCAAACAUGAUAAAUAAUAUGAGAUAUCAAUGUUUUUUGGAUUCCAUUUGUUGAUCAUGCCAACUGCUAUAGGUUAUUGAACUGAUGUUUACUAAGUUUAGCUCCAUUAUGGAUGUAUGUAUAGCUGCAGUAACAGAUUAAUCAAAUAUUGUUUUUAUGAAUG